rnacentral:rRNA from 1 species
GUGUCAGCAGCCGCGGUAAUACGGAGGGUGCAAGCGUUGUCCGGAUUUAUUGGGUUUAAAGGGUGCGUAGGCGGGUUCUUAAGUCAGUGGUGAAAGCCGGCAGCUCAACUGUCGAACUGCCAUUGAUACUGGGGACCUUGAGUACAGAUGAGGUAGGCGGAAUUUAUGGUGUAGCGGUGAAAUGCAUAGAUACCAUAAAGAACACCGAUAGCGAAGGCAGCUUACUAAACUGUAACUGACGCUGAGGCACGAAAGCAUGGGGAUCGAACAGGAUUAGAAACCCUUGUAGUCC